GAAUAUUGGGCAAUGGCCGAGAGGCUGACCCAGCCAUGCCGCGUGCAGGAAGAAGGCCUUCUGGGUUGUAAACUGCUUUUAUCUGGGAAGAAAACGCCCCUGCGGGGGUAACUGACGGUACCAGAUGAAUAAGCACCGGCUAACUCCGUGCCAGCAGCCGCGGUAAUCCGGAGGGUGCAAGCGUUGUCCGGAUUUAUUGGGUUGAAAGGGUGCGUAGGCGGCCCUGUAAGGCAGCGGUGAAAUCCCAGGGCUCAACCCUGGAACUGCCGUUGAUACUGCAGGGCUUGAGUUCGGUUAAGGCGGGCGGAACUGGUGGUGUAGCGGUGAAAUGCAUAGAUACCACCAAGAACCCCGAUUGCGUAGGCAGCUCGCUGAGCCGAAACUGACGCUGAGGCACGAAAGCGUGGGGAGCGAACAGG
rnacentral:rRNA from 1 species